AACUGUCACCCACCCUCAUGUGUAUAAAUUGCUCGUCUUCCUUCUGUCCUGUGCCAGACUGUUUUCGUACCUUUUGUGCAAACCUCCAGCGAUCCAUGUUCACAGCCAUUGCCACGCUUUUUGUACCCUUUUUGUCAGCCUUUUUCCCUCCGCAGCUGGAGCGUUGUGAGUUCAUUGAGAUUUAGUUAGUUUUUAGUUGAGAGUCCUGUUCAAGUUGUGACAGUAUUACCUGGCCGUCGAGGGAAGACUACAGAGAACAGCGAAUGCAUUUGAACCGGCAAAGCAGACUAUAUCAGUUAUUGUCCGCCAUGUAUGUCGCGGACUCAACUUGGAGGUCCAGAGUCUAUAAAGUCACUAAAAACAAAUGGACAAUGAAGGUGAAGCCAAAAAAGUGAGGAGUGUCCUGACCAGAUGUCGAGAUCUCUAGUUUGA